rnacentral:sRNA from 1 species
AGGUCAUUGUUGAGAUAUUUGGGAGCAGUAGAACAUGCGUGCAUUUCAUGUCUAACACCAUCGCAUAGUUGCUUCUGUGUUGGGAGAUUCACACAUUUCAAACAAUUUAAAGUGGACUUCACAUUACUAUAGGAAGCAUAAGUUCUUUUAAAAAGAAGUAUCUAUAUCAUAGAUGGUGAAAGCAUGGCUGUGUGUAGCAUUGAUUUGCAUUCAUUGCACCCUGACCUACUCCCAGUGCUGGUACAAUGGUUUUUACUAUCAGUUUGGACCCUUUCAACCUGAGCCAUGCCUCUCCUGCUUCUGCUUCGAUAGCGGGGCAACAGACUGUUUCAUCAUACAGUGCCCCACAUGUCUAUUUUACUACUACAAGCCUGGCGACUGCUGCGCCACCUGUGAGCCACCACCGAACCCAACGCAGUCAGCAGCAGUAUCAACCAGGAAAGUGAAGCACAAUGAUGAAGCCGAGUGUCCUAUGUAAGGUGUCAGGCUCGAGGAAGACAUUCUUCUUGCUGCUGUCACCUCAUCAAUACAGUACGGGUGGGAUAUUGCGAAUGCACAAUGACGUCUUAUUCCGGCUAGAAAAAGAUUAUACCAGAUCACUUGAUUUAAAAAAAACAAAUAUUUAUAUUUAUUGUUGUUAUUCAAAUUGUUUUGAAAAAUAUUUUUAAAAAAAUCUAUUUAAAAAGACAAUAAACAUGUUAAAGAAAGAAAUCUGAAA